UACGGAGGGUGCAAACGUUGCUCGGAAUCAUUGGGCGCAAAGCGCACGUAGGCGGCUUUCUAAGUCAGGGGUGAAAUCCUGGAGCUCAACUCCAGAACUGCCUUUGAUACUGGAGAGCUUGAGUCCGGGAGAGGUGAGUGGAACUCCGAGUGUAGAGGUGAAAUUCGUAGAUAUUCGGAAGAAACACCAGUGGCGAAGGCGGCUCACUGGCCCGGUACUGACGCUGAUGUGCGAAAGCGUGGGGAGCAAACAGGG
rnacentral:rRNA from 1 species